GUUGUUAGCGCAUUAAGAGUUUCACAGGCCGUCAAACUGUUUUUCUUCUAACAACACGAACACCACUGCUUUUCAUAUUUAACUCCAUUUUUGUAUCCGCCCAGAUCGCUUAUGUUCUGGGCUUUUUUUU
rnacentral:antisense_RNA from 1 species